AGGAAGCCUGGUUUCAAAACCAAAACAUACCUAGUCGGGAUUAACUUUUUCCCUUGUUCAUUCGUGAAAGUUGAUAGAAUUAAUUUUGUUAAAUAAUUAAGGUUUUUUUUAUUAAGAACCCUAGUGUUAGCGACAAGGACUGGCCCACUUGCUGCGGGUCUUCCCAGUGGAACUGGACCGUCGUGUUUCCCGUAUGGAGGUACUUCCCGGUCACGUACUGCAGAAGGGAGUGCUUCGCCUCAGGAGCCAGGGACGGCUGUGUCAUCGCGGCCAAAGUCACCAGGCCUGCGACACUCACCGAUACGACAAGCAUGCCUCCUGUAAAAACCCGUCUGGAUAACAUUGUUUAACAAAAAAGUCAAAUUUAAAAAUGGAUUUUUUAACAUAAUGGCCAUUUUUGUCCUGAUUUUUUCCAGAUCUUUCUUUAAAGGUUGUGGUUUGUUACGAAGCAAAGUUUUCCAUUUACAAAAAUUACUGAAUGUCCAGGCGUCUUGGUGGUGGCUGUUUUUGACGACGGCGCUCCACAAUUCGGCCUUCAGGGAGUUCAGGUCUUCCUUGGACACGGGCAGAGCUUGUCGGGCGGUGCUCCAGGUCGGAAAGUCCUUCCCGAGGAGGAAUCUCGCCCUGGAGUCUUCGAGCCAGUAGACGUCUUCGAGGGACGUGACAUCUUCCUGGACCAGCCUGGAGCAAAAAGAAAAAAAAAGUUUGAAACUGAACCGAUUGUCGGUUUAAUUUCCAGCUUUUUACUUUGAAUUUUUAUGACCUCUCUGUUAUAGCUUAUACAACAUAUCUUGGCACUGAGAAAGGUCAAAUUUAACCAAAAGCUUGAUAUUUGAAAAGUAUCUAACUGGGUAACCACAACAUAAAAUUAUCUAUUCAAUAAAAUUGAAGUCAUUUCAUGUAAAAUCAUAA